UACAGAGGUCUCAAGCGUUGUUCGGAUUCAUUGGGCGUAAAGGGUGCGUAGGCUGGCGCGUAAGCGGGUGUGAAAUUUCGGAGCUUACUACGCAAACUGCAUUCGAUACUGCCGUGCUUGAGGACUGGAGAGGAGACUGGAAUUCAUGGUGUAGCAGUGAAAUGCGUAGAGAUCAUGAGGAAGACCAGUGGCGAAGGCGGGUCUCUGGACAGUUCCUGACACUGAGACGAAGGCCAGGGGAGCAAACGGGAUUAGAACUACCGUUGUCAGU
rnacentral:rRNA from 1 species